CCUACGGGGGGCAGCAGUGGGGAAUAUUGGACAAUGGGGGGAACCCUGAUCCAGCCAUGCCGCGUGUGUGAAGAAGGCCCUCGGGUUGUAAAGCACUUUCAGUGAGGAAGAACGCCUGGUGGUUAAUACCCAUCAGGAAAGACAUCUCUCACAGAAGAAGCACCGGCUAACUCCGUGCCAGCAGCCGCGGUAAUACGGAGGGUGCGAGCGUUAAUCGGAAUUACUGGGCGUAAAGCGCGCGUAGGUGGCUUGAUAAGCCGGUUGUGAAAGCCCCGGGCUCAACCUGGGAACGGCAUCCGGAACUGUCAAGCUAGAGUGCAGGAGAGGAAGGUAGAAUUCCCGGUGUAGCGGUGAAAUGCGUAGAGAUCGGGAGGAAUACCAGUGGCGAAGGCGGCCUUCUGGACUGACACUGACACUGAGGUGCGAAAGCGUGGGUAGCAAACAGGAUUAGAUACCCUGGUAGUC
rnacentral:rRNA from 1 species